GUCCCUCCUCUGCACCCACCCCCCAACUGCCGUGGAGGAGGAUCUGGGCUUGUCCUCUGGCCACUACUCAUGGAGUUGAAUUCAUAUACUGCCCAUACCCAUUUUUCCCCACUGUCAAGAAGUCCCUAUUCUGGCUCCUCCUAGACCUUUUAUUACAUUUUUGGCUCUACUUCUCUCCCCGUCUUCUCAUUUAUGCACACCCACUCUUUGGCCCCACAAAGUUGCAGGGUCUCCUUGUCAGCCUCCCCCCGGCGAUGGCCAAAGUGACCAUCUAUGGCACCAGAGAGAGGAUGUUGGCUGAGGGGGUUCUUUGCAACUGUGAGGCCUAUUUCCGGUCCUCCUGUUCACGUAUCCGUCCAGAGUUCCUCUGGGUGGCAUCCGCUGGCUCCCUUGACACCUUUGAGCAGCAGUGGGCGCUGUCCAGGGUUCUUUGCUUGGUCUCCCCUUUAGGUUCUCUCUUUUUGAUCCUUUGACCUUCAAACCCAUCCUUGUUUUCCCCCAUAGUCAAUUGAGUUCCUGGGCUUAGUGGAGCCUCCCCAGAGGCUAGGGGAGAGGUCCUUAGGGUCCUUCCCCUGGAAUUUUCAAUAAGACCAGUGGCCAGGAUUCCCAGGAAGCAUGAUUAGCCUGCUAUCAGUUCAUAGGCAAUUUGCACUUCCCUGUUCCUCAUGGCCAUCCUGCAGACAACUGAGGGGAUGAGCGCUGCCCUUCAGUAUCCCCAUCUGUUAAAUGGCAAUUGCAACAUUCACCUACAUCAGUGGGGCUCAGAAGAUUAAUUCUUCAAGACUUUUGAACAUGCAAAACAUCCUCCUCUGAAGAGAAAGCAAACCUCUGUGCUUAGGCAGGCUGCCUCUGCUGGGAAUAACACAAUAAAGGCAGGGAACUGUGCACCCUGGAAACACACUGGUCAGAAGGGAAUGAGGACUAAGUGUCCACUCAAGAAGGGCAAUGGCUGGGGAGUUGGCAACCUGAGAAUGUAUGACACUGCUGGACCACUGAGGGGAAUUAUAGGUGCAGUUGCCCUGAAUUUACCAAGGAAUACUACUAUCUGGUCAGUGAUCAGAAUCAGUGAUCUAAAGAAACAAGCACGGGACUGGGAGUCAGCAAGUCUUGAUGUCUAGUCCUGCUUCUACCAAUGAUGUGGCCUAUGCACACGUUGGGGCACAAAUCCACUGAAUUUCUGAUUGCUCUUUUCAGCGUCACUCAGAAGAUUGACUUCACUGAGUCAGACUGCUACAAUGGUGAGUCAAACGCCCAAAGUGUUACAAGGAAAAGUAAUGAUUGAACAGGGGGAGGGGGCUGCCCUCUCUGGACCAAUGGAAGAGAAGGAGCGCUCAGACAUUAAAUUCAGCUCUCGUGUCCGCAAGAGAGAAAUCUUUCGAAACUAAAUGGAUCUUUGGAAUUGAAGGAAACAACUGCUAGAAUCCAACAUGGGAGCAUUUUAAAGGAGGGAGGGAACUAAGAUUGGUGAUCAAGCACUUUAACCAAUCCCCUCCUCCAUGUUUGCUGAGAACAAGAAUGAGUCUUUAGUGACUAAUUGCAUGGAGUUUUCCAAUGGAAGCAGGAGUCCUGCCCUCUAACAACCAUGUGACUCUUUGCCACUGUGGCCAGUUGGGCAGCACAGUACAGUAACUCCUCACUUAACAUCGUCCUGGUAAACGUCGUCUCGUUAUGUCACUGAUUAGAGAACAUGCUCGUUUAAAGUUGCACAAUGCUCCCUUACAAUGUUGUGUGGCAGCCAUCUGCUUUGUCCACUGCUUGCAGGAAGAGCAGCCCAUUGGAGCUAGCCGGUGGGGGCUUGGAACCAGGGUGGGCUGGCAGCCCCCCAUCAGCUCCCUUAAGAUCCCUGUGCGGCAGCCGCCCAGCAGGCUAUCAAGUGCCGGGCAGUUCAGGUGUCCAUCCCCACACUGCCGAUGCUGCUCCUGCCCUCUGCCUUGAAGCUGCUCCCAGGAGCCUCCUGCUUGCUGUGCAGGGGGUGAGGGGGAAAGAGGGGUGCUGAUGUCAGGGUGUCCCCCUCCCCCACUUCUGUACCCCAUCUUCACAGAACGGAGGGGGGACAUGACAGGGCUCAGCACGGAGGGAGCUUGCUGGCAGUAGCAGUUGUCUCAACUUGCUGAUCUACUUAAAAAGGCAGUGUACUUAAGAGUGGGGUCCUCAUACUUAAAGGGGCAAUGUGCAUCUGUCUCUGUCUCUCGCACACGCACACAGUGUGUCUCUGUCACACACAUGCACCCCUUGGCACUUUGGAAAGUGGAGGGAGUGGUGCGCUCCAGUGGGAUAGCCUGGGUUCAUUGUCACGUUCAGUUUCCGCAGGGAAUGUUUGCAGUCAAUGCUGUGUCUAUUGUGUCUCCUCCCUCCAUUUUUGCUGCCUUGUAGAGUGUGAGGCUACAUUAACAACCUGUUAACCCUUGAGGACUCA